rnacentral:rRNA from 1 species
UACAGAGACUGCAAGCGUUAUUCGGAUUCACUGGGCGUAAAGGGUGCGCAGGUGGCCGUGUGUGUCAGAUGUGAAAUCCCGGGGCUUAACUCCGGAACUGCGUCUGAAACUACACGGCUAGAGCAUUGGAGAGGGUAGUGGAAUUCACGGUGUAGCAGUGAAAUGCGUAGAUAUCGUGAGGAACACCAGAGGCGAAGGCGACUACCUGGACAAUAGCUGACACUCAGGCACGAAAGCGUGGGGAGCCAAAAGGG